GAUGAACGCUGGCGGCGUGCCUAAUACAUGCAAGUCGAGCGAACAGACGAGGAGCUUGCUCCUCUGACGUUAGCGGCGGGAGGGUGACUAACACGUGUAUAACCUACCUAUAAGACUCGGAUAACUUCGGGAAACCGGAGCUAAUACGGGAUAAGAUAUUGAACCGCAUGGUUCAAUAGUGUAAGACGGUUUUGCGGUCACUUAUAGAUGAAGCCGUGCCGCAUUAGCAAGUUGGUAAGGUAAAGGCUUACCAAGGCAACGAUGCGUAGCCGACCUGAGAGGGUGACCGGCCACACUGGAACUGAGACACGGUCCAGACUCCUACGGGAGGCAGCAGUAGGGAAUCUUCCGCAAUGGGCGAAAGCCUGACGGAGCAACGCCGCGUGAGUGAUGAAGGUCUUCGGAUCGUAAAACUCUGUUAUUAGGGAAGAACAAAUGUGUAAGUAACUAUGCACGUCUUGACGGUACCUAAUCAGAAAGCCACGGCUAACUACGUG
rnacentral:rRNA from 1 species